rnacentral:tRNA from 1 species
UUCUAAUUAGUAUAAUUAGUACAUCUGAUUUCCAAUCAGUAAGUUUUAAAAAAAUUAGAAA